ensembl:misc_RNA 7SK 7SK RNA
AGAUGUGAGGGAGACCCGGCUGUGGCAUCUGUCACCUCAUUGAUUGCUGUAGCUGAAUCAGCAGAUCAAACCGCCUAGGUAGUUGUCCCCUUUCCUCUCAUGGUUCCAUGUGUCUCUUUCUCUUGAUGCUGCUGGCUGUCUUGAAGAAAGUGACCUUUCCCAAAACAAGAGGCCCAUUAUUCUGUCAAGAGUAAAACUGAUCAGUUAGUAUUCAACUGUAAAAUGACUGCACAACACGUCAAGCAAAUUGCAUAAAUAUUUCUUGUAUGACACAACUAGAGUUUUUCU